rnacentral:rRNA from 1 species
GGCGAACGCUGGCGGCAGGCUUAACACAUGCAAGUCGAGCGGACACGUCGGUUUCAGCGGCUGACGGGUGAGUAACACGUGGGAACGUACCCUUGUGUUCGGAAUAACGCUGGGAAACUAGCGCUAAUACCGGAUACGCCCUUUUGGGGAAAGGCUUUCUGGCGAGGGAUCGGCCCGCGUCUGAUUAGCUAGUUGGUGGGGUAAUGGCCUACCAAGGCGACGAUCAGUAGCUGGUCUGAGAGGAUGAUCAGCGACACUGGGACUGAGACACGGCCCAGACUGCUACGGGAGGCAGCAGUGGGGAAUAUUGGAGAAUGGGCGCAAGGCUGAUACAGCCAUGCCGGGUGAGUGAUGAAGGCCUUAGGGUUGUAAAGCUCUUUUGUCCGGGACGAUAAUGACGGUACCGGAAGAAUAAGCCCCGGCUAACUUCGUG